GUCGUGAGAUGUUGGGUUAAGUCCCGCAACGAGCGCAACCCCUGUCUCUAGUUGCCAGCGCGUCAAGGCGGGGACUCUAGAGAGACUGCCGGUGCCAAACCGGAGGAAGGUGGGGAUGACGUCAAGUCAUCAUGGUCCUUACGUCUAGGGCUACACACGUGCUACAAUGGCGGGGACAGAGGGCUGCGAGCCGGCAACGGCAAGCCAAUCCCGUAAACCCCGCCUCAGUUCGGAUUGUCGUCUGCAACCCGACGGCAUGAAGCUGGAAUCGCUAGUAAUCGUGGAUCAGCUACGCCACGGUGAAUACGUUCCCGGGCCUUGUACACACCGCCCGUCACGCCAUGGAAGCUGUGAGCGCCCGAAGUCCGUGUCGCAACCUGGGCAACCAGGGGCAAGCGGCCGAAGGCGAGCGCAGUGACUGGGGCGAAGUCGUAACAAGGUAGCCGUAGGGGAACCUGCGGCUGGAUCACCUCCUUAACGGACGCGAGUACGACGAGCAUCCCGAGCGCGUCAGCGCGAAGGAUCUGCCUUUGUCUGAAAGCAUCUCGUAGUCGCUUCGUCUCGACACAUUCUGUCCAUUCCACUCUCGAUUGUUGACCCCUUGGCUCGCGCCACGCGCGCGCCACGAGGGUCAUCGCUGUUUGACAACGGAUGUAUGGUAGAUCGUGGGAUUGAAGAAUCCUUUAUGAGAUGACUUUUUCGCAAGAAAACGUCACCCGUUUGAAACAAUGCGCGUAGUUCUGCUUGAACAACAGAUUUGUAGUCAAGCGAAGGAAGGCAUGUGGGGGAUGCCUGGGCACACGGAGGCGAGGAAGGCCGUGGUAAGCUGCGAGAAGCUCGGGGGAGUGGCACACACGCGGUGAUCCCGAGAUGG
rnacentral:sRNA from 1 species